rnacentral:rRNA from 1 species
AAGUUGUUGCAGUUAAAAAGUUCGUAGUUGAACCUUGGGAUGGGUCGCCCGGUCCGUUUUCGGUGAGCACCGGUCGGCUUGUCUCUUCUGUCGGUGAUAUGCUCCUGGCCUUAACUGGCCGGGUCGUUCCUCCGGUGCUGUUACUUUGAAGAAAUUAGAGUGCUCAAAGGAAGCCUACGCUCUGUAUACAUUAGUAUGGGAUAACAUCAUAGGAUUUAGAUCCUAUUGCGUUGGCCUUCGGGAUCGGAGUAAUGAUUAACAGGGACAGUCGCUGUGACACUCCCGAUCGUAGAUGACCAGAAAUGACACAGUCGAUAUUCCUCGAUGUUCUCAGAAUACGUCCGAUCGCCUUAGACCAACAACCAAAGAACACCAACGCUCCUAUCGG